rnacentral:rRNA from 1 species
UACGUAGGGGCAAGCGUUGUCCGGAUUUAUUGGGCGUAAAGGGCUCGUAGGCGGUUUGUCGCGUCGGGAGUGAAAUCCACUGGCUUAACUGGUGGCUUGCUUUCGAUACGGGCAGGACUGGAGGUAUGCAGGGGGAGAACGGAAUUCCUGGUGUAGCGGUGAAAUGCGCAGAUAUCAGAGGAACACCGGUGGCGAAGGCGGUUCUCUGGGCAUGUCCUGACGCUGAGGAGCGAAAGUGUGGGGAGCGAACAGG